rnacentral:tRNA from 1 species
GGGGAUGUAGCUCAGUGGUAGAGCACUUGCCCAGCAUGGGUGAGGCUGUAGGUUCCAUCCCCA